UGACUAAGGCAUGCAAGUCGAACGAUCACCUUCGGGUGAAAGUGGCAGACGGGUGAGUAACACAUUGGUAACCUACCUCUAACAUGGGCACAACUCCGAGAAAUCGGAGCUAAUUCCCAAUGGUCUUAAAUUUCAUAAGGGAUUUAAGUAAAUGUUUUUCGGUUAGAGAGGGGCCUAUGGUUGAUUAGUUUGUUGGUGGGGUAAAAGCCUACCAAGACUAUGAUCAAUAGCGGGUGUGAGAGCACGACCCGCCUCACAGGGACUGAGACACUGCCCUGACUCC
rnacentral:rRNA from 1 species